GAUGAAGAACGUAGCGAAAUGCGAUAAGUAAUGUGAAUUGCAGAAUUCAGUGAAUCAUCGAAUCUUUGAACGCACAUUGCGCCCGCCAGUAUUCUGGCGGGCAUGCCUGUCCGAGCGUCAUUUCAACCAUCAAGCCCCGGGCUUGUGUUGGGGACCUGCGUCCGACGCAGGCCCUGAAAACCAGUGGCGCGCUCGCUGUCCACACCGAGCGUAGUAACUAACCUCGCUAUGGAGUGGCGCGGGCGCCUGCCGUAAAACCCCCAAUUUCACAAGGUUGACCUCGGAUCAGGUAGGAAUACCCGCUGAACUUAAGCAUAUCAAUAAGCGGAGGA
rnacentral:misc_RNA from 1 species